rnacentral:rRNA from 1 species
GCAGCUGCGGUAAUUCCAGCUCCAAUAGCGUAUAUUAAAGUUGUUGCAGUUAAAAAGCUCGUAGUUGGGUUUCUGGGAGGGUGCCGAUGUCCACUUAACGUGUGCGCAGCGGCGCCCUCUCAUCCUUCUGUUAGCGUCUCUUGGCAUUCAUUUGCUGGUGGCGGGCUCAGAUAUUUUACCUUGAGAAAAUUAGAGUGUUUCAGGCAGGCUAGGCCGGAAUACAUUAGCAUGGAAUAAUGGAAUAGGACUACGGUCUCUUUGUUGGUUUGAGGGACUGCAGUAAUGAUUAAUAGGGAUAGUUGGGGGCAUUAGUACUUAACUGUCAGAGGUGGAAUUCUCAGAUUUGUUAAAGACUGACUUAUGCGAAAGCAUUUGCCAAGGACGUUUUCAUUAAUCAAGAACGAAAGU